GAGUGUAUUUUAAUGUAAAAAACCUAUUAGAUCCUUUUCCAUAAUUAAAUCAAGUAUUAUUGAAAAUGACUUUGUAAUCAGAGUAUUAGACUGGCAAGAAGUAUUUCAUGUUUACCCGUACAAAACUUUUCAGUUUAACCUGCUAUCUGGCUAGACUGACCCACCCAUUUUGCCACCUAUAACAUUAUUUAAUUUCUACAGAUCAACAUGAGAGGACUUGAUGGGAUACAGGGCCCGGUAUAUCUUGGCACAAAAUGUGUUUUAAACCGACAAGCAUUAUACGGUUAUAUAUAUUAAUUGUAUUUGAAGAUUGAUUUUCAAUUAUCAUUUUACUUAAUUAAAAGCGGUUGAUUCAUGAAAACAUGUCUGGUCCAGUAAUUUGUUGCACAGGCCCAAAGAUAUACCCUUCCUCAUCCACUGGUAUAUAUAAUUGUAUAAAUGGACUGUGUUUAUUUACAGUGUUUAUGAGGACCUGUGUUAAUAAUCUGUCAUUUGAUGUGGCUUCUUACAUUCUGCAUUAAAGAAGGGGUUAGAUGUAAGGAUUUGAAACGGUAUUGAGUUGGUAGUGAAGAGCCGAAGAACCACAGGAUUCAUUGUGAAUUUCACUGUGUCUUCCAUAUCUCAAUACAGGAUUGCUUUUUCUUUUUUCUCUCCCUACCACACCAUUUUGCUACAGCAAGGGAGUCAUGCAUAUUGGAGACCAAGAUUAUCUGGAUGGAAGGGAAAAUGUCUAUGAGUUGCAGUUGCAUGUAUAAUGAUCAUUUAUCAGGGGUAAAUUCCAUUAGUAUGGGUUUAGAUACGGGUGAUUUGCUGAAAACACGAUACGAACGAUUGGAAGGAAAUUACCUUCACAGAAGAAUACCACCAAUACUGAUUUUCUUUCCAGUGUUGUUAAAAGCGUGUGCCCAGCCCGCCUAGGCGCAAUGUGAUGGCGAGGCAACCCUUUGCCGUCUUUGCUCCAUUUGGGGUCUUUUCGCAUUAAGAUCGCCUUCGCUUUUGACAACUUUGUCGAUUUCAUAUCUAAAUGUAGCAUCUCUAUUUCUCUUCUUACCAUGUAAAUUACUAACUUCUUAGUUUAUAGGCCCCGAGAAUCUUAUUCUAUCAUAGUCGUUUUCGCUCUUCUUGAUAACAGCUGUUGUAUUAACCAUUAACCUAAAAACUGGCAAACUAAGUAUGUAGCCUUAAGUUUAC